UACGGAGGAUGCAAGCGUUAUCCGGAAUCACUGGGCGUAAAGCGUCUGUAGGUGGUUUAAUAAGUCAACUGUUAAAUCUUGAGGCUCAACCUCAAAAUCGCAGUCGAAACUAUUAGGCUAGAGUAUAGUAGGGGUAAAGGGAAUUUCCAGUGGAGCGGUGAAAUGCGUAGAGAUUGGAAAGAACACCGAUGGCGAAGGCGCUUUACUGGGCUAUUACUAACACUCAGAGACGAAAGCUAGGGUAGCAAAUGGG
rnacentral:rRNA from 1 species